rnacentral:rRNA from 1 species
UGCCAGCAGCCGCGGUAAUACGGAGGGGGCUAGCGUUGUUCGGAAUUACUGGGCGUAAAGCGUGCGUAGGCGGACUAUUAAGUAAGGGGUGAAAUCCCGAGGCUCAACCUCGGAACUGCCUCUUAAACUGGUAGUCUUGAGUUCUGGAGAGGUGAGUGGAAUUGCUAGUGUAGAGGUGAAAUUCGUAGAUAUUAGCAGGAACACCAGAGGCGAAGGCGGCUCACUGGACAGAUACUGACGCUGAGGCACGAAAGUGUGGGGAGCAAACAGGAUUAGAUA